rnacentral:tRNA from 1 species
AUUUAUAUAGUUUAAAAUAAAACAAUACAUUUUCAUUGUAUAAAUAAUAGAUAUAAUUAUUUAUAAAUA